CUACAAAUAUGAUGAAUAUAAUAGCUAUGCGCAAAUAAUGAAUUUAAAUUACAGUUCGGUGAACGAUAUACGCGCGAGUACCUAUAUUUCCACGAAUUCGAAUCGCCUCGAUGUUUGCCGCUUAAUAAUAAUGCUGUAUUCCGUAACUGUACGAGGUGACCCAUUUCAGCGGGCACGCUCAUUAUCCCGGAGAGUAUUAAAUUUUUUCGGAAUUUUCUUUUCUUUUUUUUUCUUUCUAGUACAUUUAAGAAACAAGCAAAUCCACAAUUUUACGUUUAUGUUGUUUUCUGCUGUCACCGUUAUUUCCGGAUGUAAAACCACUUUAGAUUUUCAAAUCGCAACUUGCGUAAAAAAAUUCCACAAAUAAAUGGAGUAUUGGUUAAACGAUAAAUUUCAGUGUUGACAUUUUUUUUUUUUUUUUUUUGAUUGCCGUCAACCCAUUGACGAAAUACUCCACUUUCGAGUUUGAGUAGUGGCAGAGUAUGGAGCGGUGCGUUUAUUAACACGCAGCGCGCCGUGUCGUCACACCACUGCUGUCCCCC